AGGAUAAUCGCGUUACUCGAGUGUAUUUCAACUCUUCUCUCUCGUUCUUCUCUAUGUGCACUCUUGUUUGAGCUAUGAUUUGGAUCUAUUGGUGCUCGGAAUACAUGAUUUCGUGCCUGGGUUUGAGCCUGAUUUCUGAUUUCAUGUAUUUGAUUGCCUGGUUUUAUGUUUUUCUCUUUUCUUAUAUAUACCCCUUGUAUGUGCUGAAGCGUGGUUUGCUGUAGAACUUAACAUCAAUUUUUUUUUUUCUUAUUGUGUUUGAAAUCAAAAUAGCUUAGCUCGUUCACUUCUUAGCCGGUGAUUCAAUAUGGCCUUGAUUAGUAUUCAAAUCAAUGUAGCGGCGAGUCAAAUAAAUAGUAUAGUUCUUGGGUUUUCAUUUGCGGCCGUUGGGGCAAUUGCGCUGAUGGGUCGCCAGCUUCUGCCUAUCUUUCUUCUUCUUCUUCUUCU
rnacentral:misc_RNA from 1 species